AUUGAACGCUGGCGGCAGGCCUAACACAUGCAAGUCGAGCGCGCGGCGGACGGGUGAGUAAUGUAUGGGGACUGCCCGAUAGAGGGGGAUAACUACUGGAAACGAUAGCUAAUACCGCAUACUAUCGGAACACCCAUAUGGGAUUAGCUAGGAGGUGAGGGAAUGGCUCACCUAGGCGACGACACCUAGCUGGUCUGAGAGGAUGAUCAAUCCCACUGGGACUGGGACACGGCCCAGACUCCUCCUGACACAUCGUGGCGUAAUAUUGCACAGUGGGCGCAAGCCUGAUUCAGCCCUGCCGCGUGUAUGAUGAAGUCCCUAGGGUUUUAAAGUACUUUCAGUCGGGAGGCGUUACCGACAGAAGAAGCACCGGCUAACUCCGUGCCAGCAGCCGCGGUAAUAC
rnacentral:rRNA from 1 species